rnacentral:rRNA from 1 species
CGGGGUGCACCAGGCGCGAAAACUUUACAAUGCUGGCAACAGCGAUAAGGGGACCUCGAGUGCCAGGAUACAAUCUUGGCUGUCGUAAUGCCUAAAAAGCAUUGCAUAGCAAGGGCCGGGCAAGACCGGUGCCAGCCGCCGCGGUAACACCGGCGGCUCGAGUGGUAACCGCUAUUAUUGGGUCUAAAGGGUCUGUAGCCGGCCGGAUAAGUCUCUUGGGAAAUCCAGCUGCUUAACAGUUGGGCUUUCAGGAGAUACUGUUCGGCUCGAGACCGGGAGAGGUGAGAGGUACUUCAGGGGUAGGGGUGAAAUCUUGUAAUCCUUGAAGGACCACCAGUGGCGAAGGCGUCUCACCGGAACGGAUCUGACGGCAAGGGACGAAAGCUAGGGGCACGAACCGGAUUAGAUACCCGGGUAGUCCUAGCCGUAAACGAUACUCGCUAGGUGUCAGCCACGGUGCGACCGUGGUUGGUGCCGUAGGGAAGCCGUGAAGCGAGCCACCUGGGAAGUACGGCCGCAAGGCUGAAACUUAAAGGAAUUGGCGGGGGAGCACAAGGGCGAAUUCGCGGC